rnacentral:rRNA from 1 species
UAACAAGGUCUCCGUUGGUGAACCAGCGGAGGGAUCAUUACAGAGUAUCUACUCGCCCAACCCGUGUGAACGUACCACAGUUGCCUCGGCGGCCACGGACGGUAACCCGUCCCGAACCGCCGGAGGACCGUAAACUCUUGUUUAACCAGUAUUCUGAAAAAUUAGCAAAUAAGUUAAAACUUUCAACAACGGAUCUCUUGGUUCUGGCAUCGAUGAAGAACGCAGCGAAAUGCGAUAAGUAAUGUGAAUUGCAGAAUUCAGUGAAUCAUCGAAUCUUUGAACGCACAUUGCGCUCCCCAGUAUUCUGGGGAGCAUGCCUGUUCGAGCGUCAUUUCGACCCUCAAGCCUAGUCGCUUGGUGUUGGGAGCCUGCGGAAGCAGCUCCUCAAAUCCAGUGGCGGAGUCGGGUUAGCACUCUGAGCGUAGUAACUUUCAACAUCGCUUUUGAAGGCUCCCGGCCUCCGGCCGUAAAACACUAUUACAAUGGUUUGACCUCGGAUCAGGUAGGAAUACCCGCUGAACUUAAGCAUAUCAA